GACGAACGCUGGCGGCGUGCUUAACACAUGCAAGUCGAACGGAAAGGCCCUGCUUUUGUGGGUUGCUCGAGUGGCGAACGGGUGAGUAACACGUGAGUAACCUGCCCUUGACUUUGGGUUAACUUCAGGAAACUGGGUCUAAUACCGGAUAGGAGCUCCUGCUGCAUGGUGGUGUUUGGAAAGUUUCGGCGGUUGGGGAUGGACUCGCGGCUUAUCAGCUUGUUGGUGGGGUAGUGGCUUACCAAGGCUUUGACGGGUAGCCGGCCUGAGAGGGUGACCGGCCACAUUGGGACUGAGAUACGGCCCAGACUCCUACGGGAGGCAGCAGUGGGGAAUAUUGCACAAUGGGCGGAAGCCUGAUGCAGCAACGCCGCGUGCGGGAUGACGGCCUUCGGGUUGUAAACCGCUUUCGCCUGUGACGAAGCGUGAGUGACGGUAAUGGGUAAAGAAGCACCGGCUAACUACGUG
rnacentral:rRNA from 1 species